rnacentral:rRNA from 1 species
CGAUGUGGGAAGGCUUAGACAGCUAGGAAGUUGGCUUAGAAGCAGCCAUCUUUUAAGAAAGCGUAAUAGCUCACUAGUCGAGUCGGCCUGCGCGGAAGAUGUAACGGGGCUCAAACCAUACACCGAAGCUACGGACAUGUUCUUUUGAACAUGUGGUAGAGGAGCGUUCUGUAAGCCGUUGAAGGUGAGUUGAGAAGCUUGCUGGAGGUAUCAGAAGUGCGAAUGCUGACAUGAGUAACGAUAAUGAGUGUGAAAAACACUCACGCCGAAAAACCAAGGUUUCCUGCGCAACGUUAAUCGACGCAGGGUGAGUCGGUCCCUAAGGCGAGACUGAAAAGUGUAGUCGAUGGAAAACAGGUUAAUAUUCCUGUACUUCUAAUUAUUGCGAUGGAGAGACGGAGAAGGCUAGGCCAUCAGGGCGUUGGUUGUCCCUGUUUAAGGUGGUAGGCAGAGAUCUUAGGUAAAUCCGGGAUCUUGUUAAUGCCGAGAGCUGAUGACGAGCGUUCAUUAGAAUGCGAAGUGGUUGAUGCCAUGCUUCCAAGAAAAUCUUCUAAGCUUCAGAUAAUUAGGAACCGUACCCCAAACCGACACAGGUGGUUGGGUAGAGAAUACCAAGGCGCUUGAGAGAACUCGGGUGAAGGAACUAGGCAAAAUGGCACCGUAACUUCGGGAGAAGGUGCGCUGGUGAGGGUGAAGUAUUUACUACGUAAGCCUUUGCUAGUCGAAGAUACCAGGCCGCUGCGACUGUUUAUUAAAAACACAGGACUCUGCAAACACGAAAGUGGACGUAUAGGGUCUGACGCCUGCCCGGUGCCGGAAGGUUAAUUGAUGGGGUUAGCGCAAGCGAAGCUCUUGAUCGAAGCCCCAGUAAACGGCGGCCGUAACUAUAACGGUCCUAAGGUAGCGAAAUUCCUUGUCGGGUAAGUUCCGACCUGCACGAAUGGCGUAACGAUGGCGGCGCUGUCUCCACCCGAGACUCAGUGAAAUUGAAAUCGCUGUGAAGAUGCAGUGUAUCCGCGGCAAGACGGAAAGACCCCGUGAACCUUUACUAUAGCUUUGCACUGGACUUUGAAAGUUGUUUGUGUAGGAUAGGUGGGAGGCUUUUGAAGCUGUGACGCUAGUUGCAGUGGAGCCAACCUUGAAAUCCACCCUGGCAACUUUGAGUUCAACUCUGGUCCGUAUCCGGAUCGAGGCAGUGUAUGGU